rnacentral:rRNA from 1 species
UCCUACGGGAGGCAGCAGUGGGGAAUAUUGCACAAUGGGCGCAAGCCUGAUGCAGCCAUGCCGCGUGUAUGAAGAAGGCCUUCGGGUUGUAAAGUACUUUCAGCGGGGAGGAAGGUGAUGAGGUUAAUAACCGUAUCAAUUGACGUUACCCGCAGAAGAAGCACCGGCUAACUCCGUGCCAGCAGCCGCGGUAAUACGGAGGGUGCAAGCGUUAAUCGGAAUUACUGGGCGUAAAGCGCACGCAGGCGGUCUGACAAGUCAGAUGUGAAAUCCCCGGGCUUAACCUGGGAACUGCAUUUGAAACUGUCAGGCUGGAGUCUUGUAGAGGGGGGUAGAAUUCCAGGUGUAGCGGUGAAAUGCGUAGAGAUCUGGAGGAAUACCGGUGGCGAAGGCGGCCCCCUGGACAAAGACUGACGCUCAGGGCGAAAGCGUGUGGAGCAAACAGGAUUAGAUACCCUGGUAGUCCACGCUGUAAACGAUGUCGACUUGGAGGUUGUUCCCUUGAGGAGUGGCUUCCGGAGCUAACGCGUUAAGUCGACCGCCUGGGGAGUACGGCCGCAAGGUUAAAACUCAAAUGAAUUGACGGA